rnacentral:rRNA from 1 species
CCCUUCGGGGUGGAUCAGUGGCGAACGGGUGAGUAACACGUGGGCAAUCUGCCCUGCACUCUGGGACAAGCCCUGGAAACGGGGUCUAAUACCGGAUAUUACCUUCCUCUGCAUGGGGGUUGGUGGAAAGCUCCGGCGGUGCAGGAUGAGCCCGCGGCCUAUCAGCUUGUUGGUGGGGUAAUGGCCUACCAAGGCGACGACGGGUAGCCGGCCUGAGAGGGCGACCGGCCACACUGGGACUGAGACACGGCCCAGACUCCUACGGGAGGCAGCAGUGGGGAAUAUUGCACAAUGGGCGCAAGCCUGAUGCAGCGACGCCGCGUGAGGGAUGACGGCCUUCGGGUUGUAAACCUCUUUCAGCAGGGAAGAAGCGCAAGUGACGGUACCUGCAGAAGAAGCACCGGCUAACUACGUGCCAGCAGCCGCGGUAAUACGUAGGGUGCGAGCGUUGUCCGGAAUUAUUGGGCGUAAAGAGCUCGUAGGCGGCCUGUCGCGUCGGAUGUGAAAGCCCGGGGCUUAACCCCGGGUCUGCAUUCGAUACGGGCAGGCUAGAGUGUGGUAGGGGAGAUCGGAAUUCCUGGUGUAGCGGUGAAAUGCGCAGAUAUCAGGAGGAACACCGGUGGCGAAGGCGGAUCUCUGGGCCAUUACUGACGCUGAGGAGCGAAAGCGUGGGGAGCGAACAGGAUUAGAUACCCUGGUAGUCCACGCCGUAAACGUUGGGAACUAGGUGUUGGCGACAUUCCACGUCGUCGGUGCCGCAGCUAACGCAUUAAGUUCCCCGCCU